rnacentral:rRNA from 2 species
CGGGGGCGUGCUACACAUGCAAGUCGAGCGAACUGAUUAGAAGCUUGCUUCUAUGACGUUAGCGGCGGACGGGUGAGUAACACGUGGGCAACCUGCCUGUAAGACUGGGAUAACUUCGGGAAACCGAAGCUAAUACCGGAUAGGAUCUUCUCCUUCAUGGGAGAUGAUUGAAAGAUGGUUUCGGCUAUCACUUACAGAUGGGCCCGCGGUGCAUUAGCUAGUUGGUGAGGUAACGGCUCACCAAGGCAACGAUGCAUAGCCGACCUGAGAGGGUGAUCGGCCACACUGGGACUGAGACACGGCCCAGACUCCUACGGGAGGCAGCAGUAGGGAAUCUUCCGCAAUGGACGAAAGUCUGACGGAGCAACGCCGCGUGAGUGAUGAAGGCUUUCGGGUCGUAAAACUCUGUUGUUAGGGAAGAACAAGUACGAGAGUAACUGCUCGUACCUUGACGGUACCUAACCAGAAAGCCACGGCUAACUACGUGCCAGCAGCC